AAUCACCUCGCACCUUCUGGAUCCUUCCAAUCCACCUGUCAAAUACCCUUCGUCUCCACCCGCAGUUUCACGUUCAACUGCGUGAAUCUUCCGUCCAAUUUCUCUGCACGCUCUCUCAUUAGGUAAAUUCUUCCUCUCAGCUCUUCAAUUCAUGUGGUCUGAUAAUAGUGUUGUUAGAUCUUUUGGUUCGGCCGUUGGUGAAUCGAGAAUCAUGUCUCAUAUCCUUCCGAUAUGCUUCUUUUUCUUCAGUUUCAGAUCGCCUUUUAAGAUCUACAAAUGAUAAUUUUAACUAAUGUGAUUUGGUAUAAAACAUCAUAUAUUAGCGUCAUAAUAAUAGUUUUUUCAAGAGUAACAAGUAAUUUGUGAUUGUGUGAUAUGGACUAUUGAACUUUCUGAUAUGUAUAUGACUAAUAUUUUGUUAGAUUGAAACGGAUAUGAAGUUAGAAUCGGUUAGGUAUGGUAUGGUAUGUAGAUGGUUGUUAGAUCUUAACUUGAAGAUUACGCGGAAACCAGAGGGAUCGUGAUAGAGAAAGGGCUCAGGCAAGGGCCGGCGGGAAGCCGAAGCAAUCGAAAACCGAUGGAUUAACUCCUGAACAAAGACGAGAAAGGGAUGCGAAGGCAUUACAAGAGAAGUUAGCAAGGAAGGCGGCUAAAGAGUCAGCUGGAGCAAAUGGUGGGAAAAAUGGGAUGAAAACCAACAAAUAGAUGGUGUGGGUGUGUGUAUAUACAUUGAUGAUGGGAUAGGAAAGAGACAGAUUUGAGUGGGUUAUGUGAGUCGAUUGUUGUAUGAUAGGUUGGUGGUAAGGGGAUUGUUAAAGUCGUUGACUAUUUAUGAUCGCUUUGAGUUUUCAUGAGUUCUUGAUUGUGGCAUCCAUUUAUCUGUAUUCAUUUUUCUCUGUUUAUGACGUGUUAUUUUGACUUCACUUCUAUGGUUUGCUGUGUUAUUUGUAUCCAUUUAUUUGUUUUCUUUUUAAAAUAAAGAUUUACUCAAAAACUGG
rnacentral:lncRNA from 1 species